rnacentral:rRNA from 1 species
GAUGAACGCUAGCUACAGGCUUAACACAUGCAAGUCGAGGGGCAGCAUGAACUUAGCUUGCUAAGUUUGAUGGCGACCGGCGCACGGGUGAGUAUCACGUAUCCAACCUGCCGAUGACUCGGGGAUAGCCUUUCGAAAGAAAGAUUAAUACCCGAUGGCAUAGUUCUUCCGCAUGGUAGAACUAUUAAAGAAUUUCGGUCAUCGAUGGGGAUGCGUUCCAUUAGGUUGUUGGCGGGGUAACGGCCCACCAAGCCUUCGAUGGAUAGGGGUUCUGAGAGGAAGGUCCCCCACAUUGGAACUGAGACACGGUCCAAACUCCUACGGGAGGCAGCAGUGAGGAAUAUUGGUCAAUGGACGAGAGUCUGAACCAGCCAAGUAGCGUGAAGGAUGACUGCCCUAUGGGUUGUAAACUUCUUUUAUACGGGAAUAAAGUGAGGCACGUGUGCCUUUUUGUAUGUACCGUAUGAAUAAGGAUCGGCUAACUCCGUG